ACAGAUGAGAAAACUGAAACAUUGAGAAGUCAAGUAACUUGCUCAAGAUUAUAUAGCUAGUGCAUAGAGGGGCAAAGAUUUGAACCAGACUGCCUGGUUCCACAUGCACUUUAACCUGCUUUAUUUAGGCUUUUGAAAGCAACCUAAAUAGCUAACAUUCGCUAAAUAAGUGCAGUAUACCUGGUCUGUGUGACAUUAAUUAAAAAGUGACAGGUAUUAAAAAGUGAACAUUCUGAACCCUUUUAGCAACAUGGCAAAUACUUCUGAUGUGAUGUAUGCAUAUAAAUAUGAUCAAAAGCAAAUAUCCCAAAAGGUUAAUGGCAGUUAUGUCAGGUUAGUAGCACAAUAGUUUCUUUUCUCAUUUUCUCACAUUUUUAGUAAUGUGUGUUGCCUAUAUUAAAAAACAAAUAUUAAAAAGUAGUAGCAUGUAUUAGAUCAGAGCAUGGGCUCAGACUGCCUGUGUCAUCUCUUAUUAGACGUAUGACCAGGGACAAGUUAUUGACCUUUUGUUUCUAAGUCUCUAAGUUUGUCCUGUAAAAUGAAGAUAAUUGUAGUAACUACCUAAUAACAUGAUUGUAAGGAUUAAAUUAUUUAGAACACUAUUUGUUACUUGGAAAAUAUGCAAUCAUAAGCUAUUUUGUUGUUAUUGUUAUUUUACUACCAAAGCUUAUUGUUUCAGAGCCCCUAGGUGACCAGGCAAAAUGGCAGUUCCCUCCAGCUGGUCCUCAGAUGGGCACAUCUAUUAGCCUCUGCUCUUGUAAGAAGUUAGCUGCAGAACCCACAUGUGAAUCCUUGUAGUGCUUUAUCAAAUUUCUACUAUGAAUUAAGAACUGAGUGCUAUGGGAGACACAAAGGAGAGUCAGGACUCUGGAGAAGAUCAAAUGGGAGCUUAGAUGUGGAAGCUC
rnacentral:sRNA from 1 species